rnacentral:rRNA from 1 species
GUCUGAGAGGACGAUCAGCCACAUUGGGACUGAGACACGGCCCAGACGUCUACGGACGGCAGCAGGAGAGAAUAUUGGACAAUGAGGGAAACCUUGAUCCAGCCAUACCGCGUGUGUGAAGAAGGCCUUAGGGUUGUAAAGCACUUUAAGCGAUGAAGAAGAAAAGUAAGUUAAUACCUUACUUUUUUGACGUUACUCGCAGAAUAAGUACCGGCUAACUCCGUGCCAGCAGCCGCGGUAAUACGGAGGGUACAAGCGUUAAUCGGAAUUACUGGGCGUAAAGCGCGCGUAGGCGGUUAAGUAAGUUGGAUGUGAAAGCCCUGGGCUCAACCUAGGAACUGCAUUCAAAACUAUUUAACUAGAGUGCGAGAGAGGAGAGUAGAAUUUCUGGUGUAGCGGUGAAAUGCGUAGAUAUCAGAAGGAAUACCAAUGGCGAAGGCAGCUCUCUGGAUCGUCACUGACGCUAAGGUGCGAAAGCGUGGGUAGCAAACAGGAUUAGAUACCCUGGUAGUCCACGCCGUAAACGAUGAGAACUAGCCGUUGGGGAGAAUUAACUCUUCAGUGGCGCAGCUAACGCAUUAAGUUCUCCGCCUGGGGACUACGGCCGCAAGGCUAAAACUCAAAUGAAUUGACGGGGGCCCGCACAAGCGGUGGAUCAUGUGGUUUAAUUCGAUGCAACGCGAAAAACCUUACCUACCCUUGAAAUCCAGCGAAGUUCCUAGAGAUAGGAAUGUGCCUUCGGGAACGCUGUGACAGGUGUUGCAUGGCUGUCGUCAGCUCGUGUCGUGAGAUGUAUGGUUAAGUCCAGUAACGAGCGCAACCCCUAUCCUUAUUUGCCAGCGCAUAAUGGCGGGAACUAUAAGGAGACUGCCGGUCAUAAACCGGAGGAAGGCGGGGACGACGUCAAGUCAUCAUGGCCCUUAUGGGUAGGGCUACACACGUGAUACAAUGGGUGGUACAGAGGGUCGCCAAAGCGCGAGCUGGAGCCAAACCCUUAAAACCAUUCUUAGUCCGGAUUGGAGUCUGCAACUCGACUCCAUGAAGUCGGAAUCGCUAGUAAUCGCGAAUCAGAAUGUCGCGGUGAAUACGUUCUCGGGCCUUGUACACACCGCCCGUCACGUCAUGGAAGUGGGUUGCACCAGAAGUGGCUUGUUUAACCUUCGGGAAAACGGUCACCACGGUGUGAUUCACAACUGGGACGAAGUCGUAACAAGGUAGCCCUAGGGGAACCUGGGGCUG